ACACACACAAAACAACUCAGUCCACAUGCAGAAGCACUGAUAAGAUGAGUGUUCUGUAACCACAGUUUGCAGGACUCAUACGACACUGGAGGGAGGGGAAAAUGAUUGACAGGAGUGAUCCAAAGGUAUCAUAACUUAAAAAAAAGUCCAGACUGCAACUAUGCACAGAACUGAUAUUCAUUCAUUUCUUUUAUUCCAUCCACACAUUAAACCAGCUGAUUGAAAUCAACUCAACUCUUCAGGCAGGUAGACAAGCUAAUCAGUGAAAUCUCUUGUUUCAGGUGCACAGGUAGAAGAAACAUAUUGUUGGACUUUUACUGACUGAAGCUGGGGUUUUCCACUUCUGAUUACAGGUAUACUGCCUCAAUAACAGCAGAACUAUCAACUUAACAAACGUCACAAAGAUACAGAUACCUGCUAAUUAAUAACAGCACUAACAUACAAGUUAAAUACAAAUGAAGUUUCACUCAACAGAAAUACUGAAUUACAAACUUCAUUGAUGAU